GCCCGGGUGGUGGAAUAGGUAGACACGCAGGACUUAAAAUCCUGUGGCCAUUGCGGCCAUACCGGUUCGAUUCCGGUUCCGGGCA
rnacentral:tRNA from 1 species